UACGUAGGGUGCAAGCGUUUAAUCGGAAUUACUGGGCGUAAAGCGUGCGCAGGCGGUUUUUGUAAGUCUGACGUGAAAUCCCCCGGGCUCAACCUGGGAAUUGCGUUGGAGACUGCAAGGCUAGAAUCUGGCAGAGGGGGGGUAGAAUUCCACGUGUAGCAGUGAAAUGCGUAGAGAUGUGGAGGAACACCGAUGGCGAAAGGCAGCCCCCUGGGUCA
rnacentral:rRNA from 1 species